rnacentral:rRNA from 1 species
CUCAUCGCAUCCUGGGGCUGAAGAAGGUCCCAAGGGUUUGGCUGUUCGCCAAUUAAAGCGGUACGUGAGCUGGGUUUAGAACGUCGCGAGACAGUUCGGUCCCUAUCUGGUGUGGGCGGAGCAGGAUUGAGGGAAUCUGUCCUUAGUACGAGAGGACCGGGAUGGAUCCACCUCUAGUGUACGAGUUAUGGCGCCAGCCGUAGCGCUCGGUAGCUAUGUGGAGUAUGGAUAAACGCUGAAUGCAUCUAAGCGUGAAGCCAGACCCAAGAUUAUUCCUGCCAGUGAGACUCCUCGUAGACCACGAGGUUGAUAGGGUGGAUAUGUAAGUGCAGUAAUGUACUCAGUUGACCACUACUAAUCAGUCCCUUGGCUUGACCAUAAAA